GCUGGGUGUAGUGUAGGUGCCUGUUGUCCCAGCUAUUUGGAAAGCUGCGGCAGGAGUUCUGGGCUGUCAUGCACUAUGUCGAUUGGGUGUCCACAUUGAGUUCGGCAUCAAUAUGGUGACCUCUCGGGAGCGAGGGACCACCAGGUUGUCUCAGGAGGAGGGGUGAACGAUCCAGGUCAGAAACAGAGCAGGUCAAAACUCCCAUGCCAAUCAGUAGUGGGAUUGCACCUGUGUACUCCAGCUUGGGCAACAUAGCGAGACCCUGUCU
rnacentral:SRP_RNA from 10 species